rfam:Salmo salar isolate Sally breed double haploid chromosome ssa15, whole genome shotgun sequence.
UGUAUUCACUACUGUAAGUCGCUCUGGAUAAAAGUGUCUGCUAAAUGACGUAAA